UACGUAGGGGGCAAGCGUUGUCCGGAAUCAUUGGGCGUAAAGCGCGUGUAGGCGGCUCGGUAAGUCUGCUGUGAAAGUCCAGGCUCAACCCUGGGAUGCCGGUGGAUACUGUCGAGCUCGAGUCCGGAAGAGGCGAGUGGAAUUCCUGGUGUAGCGGUGGAAAUGCGCAGAUAUCAGGAGGAACACCAAUGGCGAAGGCAGCUCGCUGG
rnacentral:rRNA from 1 species